rnacentral:lncRNA from 1 species
GUGUGUAAUGGAAAUAUUCGGGGCGUGGGUAGUAAAAGGGCUUAAGCGGAGCGCCGCGGCUCCCAGCCUCUCAGAGAUAAGGAGCAGAGCCCGUCACGGAGACUGCGUGUGCCCCACCGCCACCGACCUUGUUCUUUCCUUUCCUCGCUGCCGGCGAGUGGUGGGCAGUGACCCGCUGACACCGCAGGCAUAUGGCUCCGGGCAAAAAUCAGGGUCCUUGCCUCAGCGGGCGCAGCUCUCUGAGUGCAGUGUAACGCUCGGGAUCCAACAGAGGGAAGAGGAGCCCCGUACUUUCUGCCCCACUUUAAGCCCACGCUCCAGAAGCACCCGGCAACAGUAUGAAAAUAGGCUAGAAAUGGGCUCGAUAGGAAACAGGGAGAAUCCCGAAUGCCCCCCCCCCACCCCCCACCCCAUCAGCGUGCGAGCAUCUCGCCUCGGCCGGAUCGGCUCGCUGAUGGAGGGAGGCGGAGGGAGGUACGGGGAUGUGCCCGUGCCAGGGGUGGGCUCGGCCGCGAGCGUAGCAAAGCGGGACCCGCCGGGCUGCAACCUCCCCGGCCAGCGCCGUUCAUAGGGGCUCUUCGCCUUUUGCUUCACGGCGAUUACCUCUGCCACGUGCGAGGCAGGGAGGCUGACUCACGGAGUGCAGCAGAGCGGGGAGCGAUGCGGGGCGGUGGGGAUCGCUGCACACCCACGCAGAGCGUGGGCGCUGAGAACCGUACACAGCGAGGGGGCCGGCAGUGAUCCCGGUUGUUCUGUGGGGCCGGCGCUGCCCCCCGACUCCACUGUCCUCCCGGGCACCGCGAGGCCCCCGCAGCGCUGUCCGGGUCCCUCCGACCCGACACCCCCCCACGGGUCUCGGGGGACAAGUGGAAAGAUACACAGCACACAAUGACCGGGAGAAAAUCACAGCACAAAGGGGAGCGGAGCGGCCGCGGGGAGGAAUGUGGGCUCCGCACUCCCACGCUGCGGUGCCGGGUACGGCAAUGCGGGAUAACGGCUAACAGCUGAAAUCAAAACGCAAUUGGUUUGAUUUUUUUUUAAAUGCCGAGGGCGGCAUUGAGGGGAAAGGAGUCGUUUUUUAAUCUUAAUGCAAACCCAUCCGCCAGCAGACGCAGAGUAAAAGCUCGUUAAAAAAAAAAAAAAAAAACACAAUAUAAAAAAUGGAAUGUGCUUUUUCUGAGCUUUGCGGAUCUUUACGGGGGAGAAACAAAUGAGGGAAGAGUGGAAAAUGGGAGGCGAUAAGAAGAAAACCUGCCUUUGUUCUCCCUGGUCAUUUUCUGCUAAUUACUCUGCCCAUUGUGACAAAGUCGCAGUUAAGGGCACAUUAGUGUACAUAACGCCGCGUUUCGCCCCGCACCGCUCAGCGCCCGGCCCGAGCCGUGCCGCCGUGUUUGUGUUCCUCCCCUUCACCUCCAACAGAAACUCUUUGAGAUUUCAGAUCUUUGAACUUUGGACGGAUCAAACUGCCGGCGCUCACCUUUGUC